rnacentral:rRNA from 1 species
AUGACUAUGGUAGCGAGAGAGAUCUUUGACAUUGUAGGCAUUGUUGUUGUAGCAUUCAAGCACCUUGAAGGGUUCCAUCGGCUCAUGGACGAAGUUUGGACUUUUCAUUGGGGAACGGUCCUUGCGAAGGGCGAGCAUAAGCGCGACAAGGAGGAACCUGCCCAGGAAGCGCGGGUGAUUGAUGGAGGCCCCGAGGUGGUCGUCGAGGAAGUAAACCCGGUGGAGGACGGGUUGCCGAGAGCGGGGGAGCCACCCAUCCGGCCACCGCGGGCACGGAACUCCAACCGCCCUUGUCCGGCCUCCCCCGAUUCUUCAACGACGGCAAACGUAGCUAACACUCAUCUGUCUCUCGCCACCACCACCAUGCCUCGUCCGGGCAACGCCCACGUCGCCUCUCUCCCGCGUGCUCCCAAGAUCCAGACCGAGAAGAUCGGGGGAGAUGGGGCUGGAGGAGGUGGAGUUUGGGGCGGGAUAUGGAGAGGGCACGAGUGCGGGAGAAGCCGCUGGCGGGGGCGGUUCAGUCGCCGGCACCGAAGGAGCCGGGGUGGGCUGAUUGGGGCGAGGAAGCUACAGAAGGAGGGCGCCUUCUCCGGUGGUUGGCGCUGGAGGAGCAUGGACGAUGGAGAUGACUGGUGGCGACGUGACGGCAACCCUAGCGGCCUAGCCUCCAGCCGAAGGUGGAAAGGAGAGGGGUUGGAGAAGAAAAUGCCAGCCUGA